GACGGGACCGCACAAGCGGUGGAUGAUGUGGUUUAAUUCGAUGCAACGCGAAAACCUUACCCACCUUUGACAUGUACGGAACCCUUUAGAGAUAGAGGGGUGCUCGAAAGAGAGCCGUAACACAGGUGCUGCAUGGCUGUCGUCAGCUCGUGUCGUGAGAUGUUGGGUUAAGUCCCGCAACGAGCGCAACCCUUGUCAUUAGUUGCUACAUUCAGUUGGGCACUCUAGCGAGACUGCCGGUAAUAAACCGGAGGAAGUGGGAUGACGUCAAAUCAUCAUGCCCCUUAUGACCUGGGCUACACACGUGCUACAAUGGUUGGUACAACGAGUUGCGAGUCGGUGACGGCGAGCUAAUCUCUUAAAGCCAAUCUCAGUUCGGAUUGUAGGCUGCAACUCGCCUACAUGAAGUCGGAAUCGCUAGUAAUCGCGGAUCAGCACGCCGCGGUGAAUACGUUCCCGGGCCUU
rnacentral:rRNA from 1 species